UACGAAGGGGGCUAGCGUUGUUCGGAAUUACUGGGCGUAAAGCGCGCGCAGGCGGUCUUCCAAGUCAGUGGUGAAAGCCCGGAGCUCAACUCCGGAAUUGCCAUUGAUACUGGCUAUCUUGAGUUCGGGAGAGGUGAGUGGAACUCCGAGUGUAGAGGUGAAAUUCGUAGAUAUUCGGAAGAACACCAGUGGCGAAGGCGACUCACUGGCCCGAUACUGACGCUGAGGCGCGAAAGCGUGGGGAGCAAACAGG
rnacentral:rRNA from 1 species